rnacentral:rRNA from 1 species
GAUGAACGCUGGCGGCGUGCCUAAUACAUGCAAGUCGAGCGAACAGAUGAGGAGCUUGCUCCUCUGACGUUAGCGGCGGACGGGUGAGUAACACGUGGAUAACCUACCUAUAAGACUGGGAUAACUUCGGGAAACCGGAGCUAAUACCGGAUAAUAUAUUGAACCGCAUGGUUCAAUAGUGAAAGACGGUUUUGCUGUCACUUAUAGAUGGAUCCGCGCCGCAUUAGCUAGUUGGUAAGGUAACGGCUUACCAAGGCGACGAUGCGUAGCCGACCUGAGAGGGUGGUCGGCCACACUGGAACUUGGACGCGGUCCAGACGCCUACGAGAGGCAGCAGUAGGGAAUCUUCCGCAAUGGGCGAAAGCUUGACGGAGCAACGCCGCGUGAGUGAUGAAGGUCUUCGGAUCGUAAAACUCUGUUAUGAGUUAAGAACAAAUGUGUAAGUAACUAUGCACGUCUUGACGGUACCUAAUCAGAAAGCCACGGCUAACUACGUG